UACUGUGACGUAUGACCCGCAUCACCGGAAGUUGUUAGCGGUCAGCCGUCUGCACCUGCAAUUUGCGAUCAGAGCUGUCGCGAUAUCUUCUUUUAAUCAUUACUUUCGGCCCAAGUUUGUUUUCUGUGCGAUUCACCGACGGCACUGGCGACGAAAGGGAAUCUGGAGUACCGGGAGAAGCAUUUUCAAACGGUAUACGUGAGCUACGGUAGUGAACACGCAGCAAAAGUGCGUUCCAUGCCUUCGCGUCACGUCUCUAACUAAGUUCCAUCUGGCCGUUUGAGGGCAGCCAUUGUGCUCACAUGGCCGCAGGGCGGAAAGAAGUUUGGCACCCCUUGCUCCACAUGGCGGGAAGUGAAAGUACAAAUAAUGCAGAUAUUCAGACACUCACUCCUCAAGAAUUGUCAUCUUUUCUCCUUUGUUGAAUCCAAGGUCAUCAGGAUGAACGGCUUCAUAUGGGUUACUGGAGUUGGGAUGGAGCGGAGGCCGUGAUUGGCACGUCUGCCACACAGUCAAAAAGGUCUG